rnacentral:rRNA from 1 species
AGGUGCUGCAUGGCUGUCGUCAGCUUCGUGUCGUGAGAUGUUGGGUUAAGUCCCGCAACGAGCGCAACCCUUGUCCUGUGUUGCUACUCCGCAAGGAGAGGACUCUCAGGAGACUGCCGUGGAUAACACGGAGGAAGGUGGGGACGACGUCAAGUCAUCAUGGCCUUUAUGUCCAGGGCUACACACGUGAUACAAUGGUGCAGACAGAAGGUUGCAAGACCGUAAGGUGGAGCCAAUCCCUAAACUGCACCCUAGUUCAGAUCGUGGGCUGCAAUUCGCCCACGUGAAGCUGGAAUCGCUAGUAAUCGCAGAUCAGCAGGCUGCGGUGAAUACGUUCCCGGGCCUU